rnacentral:rRNA from 1 species
AUUGAACGCUGGCGGCAGGCUUAACACAUGCAAGUCGAGCGGGGACUUCGGUCCUAGCGGCGAACGGGUGAGGAAUGCUUGGGAAUCUGCCUUGUAGUGGGGGAUAACGUUUCGAAAGGAACGCUAAUACCGCAUACGUCCUACGGGAGAACGGGGGGGAUCUUCGGACCUCUCGCUAUAAGAUGAGCCCAAGUCGGAUUAGCUAGUUGGUGGGGUAAAGGCUCACCAAGGCGACGAUCCGUAGCUGGUCUGAGAGGAUGAUCAGCCACACUGGAACUGAGACACGGUCCAGACUCCUACGGGAGGCAGCAGUGGGGAAUAUUGGACAAUGGGCGAAAGCCUGAUCCAGCCAUGCCGCAUGUGUGAAGAAGGCCUUCGGGUUGUAAAGCACUUUAAGCUAGGAGGAAUGGCUCUGGGUUAAUACCCAAGAUGAGUGGACGUUACUCGCAGAAUAAGCACCGGCUAACUCUGUGCCAGCAGCCGCCGUAAAAC